GUAAGAAGUGUGACCAGAAGGUUGAUACGUGCAGCAAGGCAAAGUCGAGAGAGAUGGAGCCCCAGCACUCAGGACCCCAUGAAUCUCUGGAAUAGCUCGCCCUGAAGGUGGUCCAGCCUCUGAACUUUCCAAUGAUAGAUCUCAAUCAAUUCGCUUAGGUUAAACUAGUUUAACAAAUGCUAAACCUUCGAAGCAGCACCACACAGUUCCUGGGUUAUAAAGGCUUUGUUCCUCAGAUGCUCAGGUCCCCAGAAGGUCAGCUCUCUGGGGCAGGCCAAGCCUGUAGUGUUCACUGGCUUCUCCACAAGCUUAUACACCAGGAACUUCAAAAAGGGAGCGACCCAGGCAUUUCUCACUCGGAGAUGCCCUGCACUGGAAUGUGCUGUGUGCUCAGCCUCACCCUCCUCUGAAUCAUCGCCUCCAGUUGGCACUUUACGCCUCUGGCCACCUUCUGUCUCCUAGCAUCGUUCUUUAUGCAGCUGUCUUAUCUGUCUCACAGGACUGUGAGCUUAAUUCCCAAUGGUCAUCCCCGCCAUCGCCAUCGUAAAGUACCUAGUCUGUUUUCUACGUGUGAAACCAUUUGAGUCUUUCGUACUAUUUGUUGCAGAUGCCUUCCAAGAGCUCACUGAAUGUGGAGCUGGGAUAUACACAAUGGCUCUUGCUGGCCAAUCAGACUUAAGAAGUUUCCGGUAGAUCUUGGCUCAGGGCUCCAGGAAGAUCAGAAGUGCUAUUCUGUAAGGAAUGGGGAAGCCCAUUGAAUCCCUUCUCCACCUGCGCAGGCAAGACUGUAGGACAUAUUCAUAGGACUGUCUCACUUUCCUGGUGUGCUCCUCUCAGCCCUCCCCAACUAACUGCACAAGAUCUUGACAAACCCUGAAAUAGCUUUAAAGUCAUGAGCAAUGAGUCAUAAGAUGGAUCAGAAGUUUCUUACGGGUCACUAAUAUGAAGGCAAUUCGAAACUCUCAGAAUUAGUAAUGUAUACAUACAGGCUGACUUUGGGGCUAUAGUUCUUAACACUCCAAAUUAUUUUUUUUCAAGCAUUUGCUCAACUCC
rnacentral:lncRNA from 1 species